GAUGAACGCUGGCGGCGUGCUUAACACAUGCAAGUCGAACGAGGUCCAUGGACUCUUAGGAGUCCGGAAGACCUAGUGGCGAACGGGUGCGUAACACGUGAGGAACCUACCCCGGACUCUGGGAUAACAGUUGGAAACGACUGCUAAUACCGGAUGCCGUCGAUCCACCGCAUGGUGGAACGACGAAAGCUCUGGCGGUCCCGGGAGGGCCUCGCGACCUAUCAGCUAGUUGGAGAGGUAAUGGCUCACCAAGGCAUCGACGGGUAGCUGGUCUGAGAGGAUGAUCAGCCACACUGGGACUGAGACACGGCCCAG
rnacentral:rRNA from 1 species